GGACGCAGUCUGAACNAGCCAUGCCGCGUGAAGGAUGAAGGCCUUCUGGGUUGUAAACUUCUUUUAUGUGGGAAGAAACCCCGACAUUCAUGUUGGGUUGACGGUACCAUAGGAAUAAGCACCGGCUAACUCCGUGCCAGCAGCCGCGGUAAUACGGAGGGUGCAAGCGUUAUCCGGAUUUACUGGGUUUAAAGGGUGUGUAGGCGGGCUAUUAAGUCAGUGGUGAAAUCUCCGGGCUCAACCUGGAAACUGCCAUUGAUACUAUUAGUCUUGAAUAUUGUUGAGGUAGGCGGAAUAAGUCAUGUAGCGGUGAAAUGCAUAGAUAUGACUUAGAACACCAAUUGCGAAGGCAGCUUGCUAAACAAUGAUUGACGCUGAGGCACGAAAGCGUGGGGAUCAAACAGGAUUAGAUACCCUGGUAGUCCACGCCCUAAACGAUGAUUACUCGACAUACGCGAUACACAGUGUGUGUCUGAGCGAAAGCAUUAAGUAAUCCACCUGGGAAGUACGACCGCAAGGUUGAAACUCAAAGAAAUUGACGGA
rnacentral:rRNA from 1 species